rnacentral:rRNA from 1 species
UAGAUACCCUGGUAGUCCACGCCGUAAAUGGUGAGUGCUAGGUGUCGGGAGUCAAAUCUCGGUGCCGACGUUAACACAUUAAGCACUCCGCCUGGGGAGUACGCACGCAAGUGUGAAACUCAAAGGAAUUGACGGGGACCCGCACAAGCAGCGGAGCAUGUGGUUUAAUUCGAUGCAACGCGAAAAACCUUACCAGGACUUGACAUAUGGAUGCCCGGUAUAGAGAUAUACCCUUCUUCGGAACAUUCAU